CGGGGUGUGGCGCAGCGGGAGCGCACCUGCUUUGGGAGCAGGGGGUCAGAGGUUCAAAUCCUCUCACCCCGACCA
rnacentral:tRNA from 1 species